rnacentral:rRNA from 1 species
CCCUUAGAUGUUCGGGGCCGCACGCGCGUUACACUGAUGCAUUCAACGAGCUUAUAACCUUGGCCGAGAGGCCUGGGCAAUCUUGUUAACGUGCAUCGUGAUAGGGAUAAAUUAUUGAAAUUAUUAAUCUUGAACGAGGAAUUCCUAGUAAACGCAGAUCAUCAAUCUGCAUUGAUUACGUCCCUGCCCUUUGUACACACCGCCCGUCGCACCUACCGAUUGGAUGGUCCGGUGAAGCCUCGGGAUUGUGGUUCUUGCCGCUUUAUUGUGGCGUGACCGCGAGAACUUGUCUAAACCUUAUCAUCUAGAGGAAGGUGAAGUCGUAACA